rnacentral:rRNA from 1 species
AAUUUUGGACAAUGGGCGCAAGCCUGAUCCAGCCAUGCCGCGUGAGUGAAGAAGGNCUNNGGGUUNUNAAGCACUGUUGGCAGNNNNNAAACGGCACCGACUAAUACCGGGUGUCACUGACGGUACCUGCAGAAUAAGCACCGGCUAACUACGUGCCAGCAGCCGCGGUAAUACGUAGGGUGCAAGCGUUAAUCGGAAUUACUGGGCGUAAAGCGUGCGCAGGCGGUUCGGAAAGAAAGAUGUGAAAUCCCAGAGCUUAACUUUGGAACUGCAUUUUUAACUGCCGAGCUAGAGUAUGUCAGAGGGGGGUAGAAUUCCACGUGUAGCAGUGAAAUGCGUAGAGAUGUGGAGGAAUACCGAUGGCGAAGGCAGCCCCCUGGGAUAAUACUGACGCUCAUGCACGAAAGCGUGGGGAGCAAACAGG